UGUAAAGAAAAGGAUCUCCUUUGUGAAAGUGGCCACCUGUCAAAGCAGACCACAGAGACGGUAACCCAAGGCAAGCUGUUGAUCUGUGGAUGGAGACAGCUAAUCGGAGACUCAACCAAGGACAGGGACGUGCAUCUGCAGCAUCUUCAUCAUCUACCAUGCAGGAAGCUGAAGCAGAGGACAGUGGGGACGACACUGAAGAGGACAGUGGGGACGACUGCACUUAUUAAGACUACGGAGCAUAAGGAGAACCGUGGCGUUGGGUGAAAGAUGAUGCAUGUUGAUGUUGGAGACCUCGUUUUCUCAUUCCCUCAACUUCCUGUGGAAAAUGUGAUAAAAACAUAGGGCGAAGCAACAAAAGUGUUGAAAAAAACAAAGACAAAAGACUCUCCUCUUCAAGAUAUUUUAAAGUUCUGAUCCAGAAAAACAGGUAAAGGGGGGGGGGUCAGACUGUUCCCAUCACCCUACGGUGCAAAAAUAUUGUUUAAUAUUGAAAUACUUUUUACAUAAUGUGUAUACCAAGCUACUUUAUACAUGUUUAUAGUUGCUCUCCGGACUGUACACCAGGUGCCCCCCCCCCUUUUUUUUCUCUGCAUACCUAUACUUUAUAUUUUUAUAUUUUAUAUUCUUAUAUUUCAGGUUUUGCUUCAGUCUUGUUGCACAGGUACUGCACUUGUGUAUAAUGACAAUAAAGGCUUUCUCUUCUCUUCUAUCCUCUUGUCUUCUCUUCUCUCUUUUGUUUGUGGCUUUCACACACCAGUAUGAUUUUGGCUGAUAUCAGGCUUUUUAAUAGUUUCUCUCAAUUACUAAGACCACUUAAUGGACCUGGGAUCCACUUCUUCUUCAUCAUCCCUUUUUAAGCAGCAGAAGGCCUCAUGUAACAUGACAUAUUUUCCACAACUUUUUUUUAUGUAUAUACAGAUGUCAUUUUGAACCAGUGGUAACUUCCAAUCAAGGCAGCGCUAGAACAGCAGCUCCCGUGCUUCGUGAUUUAAAAUGAAGGUUUCUGUCAGAGAAGUCUGGGGGUCCAACAGGAGUCUGGGGGUCCAACAGAAGUCUGGUGGUCCAACAGGAGUCUGGAGACCGGCCUCAGAUCCCCGUCUGACAGGGCAGCCGACAUCCUCUAAAUAUAGUGUAGAAACUGUUAGCUUUCAGUUUUCUAUCAGUUUGUUAACAGGUUUUCAUAGACGCGGUGCGAUACUUAUUAUGUAUGUGGUUAUUGAAUCAUAACUAUAUAUUACCAACCAGACUGCUUGAUUUUAGCCUUUCUCAACCCUUAACAUUUUCAGUAAACAAUUCAACUUUUGUCUUCAUAUAGUGUCUUCAUUGGUCCAAUCGGCUCCUAGUACCAAGAGCCUGCAGUUCUCAGGCCUGCGUCCACUUUCUAAAAAAACAUCAUAUGUCGUUCUGCCGAUGUCUGGCGCAGGUCCAGCUGGUGGGGGUCGGUUCGACGGCAGUGUUCAUCUCAAAAUUCAAGAUCCUGUCAGAUGGGGAAAAGCACGGCAGGGACGUCCCAGAGUGGAGCUUAAAGGAGGUGGAGGAAUAUGACCAACCAAGGGAAGACGGAGAUCAAGACACAAAAGGCCCACA